rnacentral:rRNA from 1 species
AUUGAACGCUGGCGGAAUGCUUUACACAUGCAAGUCGAACGGUAGAGGGGGCAACCCCUCGAGAGUGGCGAACGGGCGAGUAAUAUAUCGGAACGUGCCCAGUCGUGGGGGAUAACGUAGCGAAAGUUACGCUAAUACCGCAUACGAUCUAAGGAUGAAAGCGGGGGAUCGCAAGACCUCGCGCGAUUGGAGCGGCCGAUAUCAGAUUAGGUAGUUGGUGGGGUAAAGGCUCACCAAGCCAACGAUCUGUAGCUGGUCUGAGAGGACGACCAGCCACACUGGAACUGAGACACGGUCCAGACUCCUACGGGAGGCAGCAGUGGGGAAUUUUGGACAAUGGACGCAAGUCUGAUCCAGCCAUUCCGCGUGCAGGAUGAAGGCCCUCGGGUUGUAAACUGCUUUUGUACGGAACGAAAAGGUCUCUCUUAAUACGGGGGGCUCAUGACGGUACCGUAAGAAUAAGUACCGGCUAACUACGUGCCAGCCGCCGCCGUAA